UGGCUCAGAGGUUAAAAGCAUCUGCCUGGAACGCAGGAGACCCAGGUUCGAUCCCUGG
rnacentral:tRNA from 1 species